UACGUAAGGGGGGCUAGCGUUGCUCGGAUUGACUGGGCGUAAAGGGCGCGUAGGCGGUUCGUACAGUCAGACGUGAAAUUCCUGGGCUCAACCUGGGGGCUGCGUUUGAUACGUGCGGACUUGAGUGCGGAAGAGGGUCGUGGAAUUCCCAGUGUAGAGGUGAAAUUCGUAGAUAUUGGGAAGAACACCGGUGGCGAAGGCGGCGACCUGGUCCGAUACUGACGCUGAGGCGCGAAAGCGUGGGGAGCAAACAGG
rnacentral:rRNA from 1 species